rnacentral:rRNA from 1 species
UACGGGGGGAGCAAGCGUUGUUCGGAUUUACUGGGCGUAAAGGGCGCGUAGGCGGCCAGCACAAGUCAGUUGUGAAAUCUCCGGGCUUAACUCGGAAAGGUCAACUGAUACUGUGCGGCUAGAGUGCGGAAGGGGCAACUGGAAUUCUCGGUGUAGCGGUGAAAUGCGUAGAUAUCAGGAGGAACACCAAUUGCGAAGGCAGCUCGCUGGGACGUUACUGACGCUGAGACGCGAAGCGUGGGGAGCAAACAGG